GACGAACGCUGGCGGCGUGCUUAACACAUGCAAGUCGAACGGACCCUUUGGGGUUAGUGGCGAACGGGUGAGUAACACGUGGGUGAUCUGCCCUGCACUUUGGGAUAAGCCUGGGAAACUGGGUCUAAUACCGGAUAGGACUACGCACUGCAUGGUGUGUGGUGGAAAGCUUUUGCGGUGUGGGAUGGGCCCGCGGCCUAUCAGCUUGUUGGUGGGGUGAUGGCCUACCAAGGCGACGACGGGUAGCCGGCCUGAGAGGGUGACCGGCCACACUGGGACUGAGAUACGGCCCAGACUCCUACGGGAGGCAGCAGUGGGGAAUAUUGCACAAUGGGCGCAAGCCUGAUGCAGCGACGCCGCGUGAGGGAUGACGGCCUUCGGGUUGUAAACCUCUUUCGCCAGGGACGAAGCGCAAGUGACGGUACCUGGAGAAGAAGGACCCGGCCACUACGUGCCAGCAGCCGCGGUAAUACGUAGGGUCCGAGCGUUGUCCCGAAUACUGGGCGUAAGAGCUCGUNAGUGGUUUGUCGCGUUGUUCGUGAAAACUCACAGCUUAACUGUGGGCGUGCGGGCGAUACGGGCAGACUGGAGUACUGCAGGGGAGACUGGAAUUCCUGGUGUAGCGGUGGAAUGCGCAGAUAUCAGGAGGAACACCGGUGGCGAAGGCGGGUCUCUGGGCAGUAACUGACGCUGAGGAGCGAAAGCGUGGGGAGCGAACAGGAUUAGAUACCCUGGUAGUCCACGCCGUAAACGGUGGGUACUAGGUGUGGGUUUCCUUCCUUGGGAUCCGUGCCGUAGCUAACGCAUUAAGUACCCCGCCUGGGGAGUACGGCCGCAAGGCUAAAACUCAAAGGAAUUGACGGGGGCCCGCACAAGCGGCGGAGCAUGUGGAUUAAUUCGAUGCAACGCGAAGAACCUUACCUGGGUUUGACAUGCACAGGACGCCGGCAGAGAUGUCGGUUCCCUUGUGGCCUGUGUGCAGGUGGUGCAUGGCUGUCGUCAGCUCGUGUCGUGAGAUGUUGGGUUAAGUCCCGCAACGAGCGCAACCCUUGUCUCAUGUUGCCAGCACGUUAUGGUGGGGACUCGUGAGAGACUGCCGGGGUCAACUCGGAGGAAGGUGGGGAUGACGUCAAGUCAUCAUGCCCCUUAUGUCCAGGGCUUCACACAUGCUACAAUGGCCGGUACAAAGGGCUGCGAUGCCGUGAGGUGGAGCGAAUCCUUUCAAAGCCGGUCUCAGUUCGGAUCGGGGUCUGCACCUCGACCCCGUGAAGUCGGAGUCGCUAGUAAUCGCAGAUCAGCAACGCUGCGGUGAAUACGUUCCCGGGCCU
rnacentral:rRNA from 1 species